rnacentral:rRNA from 1 species
GACGAACGCUGGCGGCGUGCUUAACACAUGCAAGUCGAGCGGUAAGGCCCUUUCGGGGGUACACGAGCGGCGAACGGGUGAGUAACACGUGGGUGACCUGCCCUCAGCUCUGGGAUAAGCCUGGGAAACUGGGUCUAAUACUGGAUAUGACUCCACGGUGCAUGUCGUGGGGUGGAAAGCCUUGUGCGGCUGAGGAUGGGCCCGCGGCCUAUCAGCUUGUUGGUGGGGUGANGGCCUACCAAGGCGACGAUCGGUAGCUGGUCUGAGAGGACGACCAGCCACACUGGGACUGAGACACGGCCCAGACUCCUACGGGAGGCAGCAGUGGGGAAUAUUGGACAAUGGGCGCAAGCCUGAUCCAGCGAUGCCGCGUGUGUGAAGAAGGCCUGC